rnacentral:lncRNA from 1 species
AAAAGACACAUACAGAUGUUGGUAAAGAAAUUCCAAGUUUGUCUGUUCGCUGUUGUUGUAGUGUUUUAAUAUAGUCUCCAAAAGAAGUGUAGAGAUAGCAGACCUGAGAAAGAGUUAUCAUCAUUUUUGGUAUAUGCAACUUUAGCUUCCUUCAGGUAAUUACUGUUGAUCCUUUAAAUCUUACAUGCUUAUUCGUUGAAUGCAUUUGUACUUUAUAUAAAAAUGUAUAAGCAGUAGAGUCUACAAGUGGUUCAGGGUCUGUCUGCAUUAUACCUAAGAAAACUUAAUGAAAGACUUAAGUUAUUUAUAAAAGUAGUGGGAGGAAGAAACUAUAACAUGUCUGUAAAUAACUGAAAUAAAUAGCUGGUUAUUUAAACCGGUGUCUUGGAAACCCAUAAUCUAAACCAGUUCCUGAGCCCACAUGGGAAAAGAAGGGAACCAACUCCUUCCGGUUGUCCUCUGACCUCCGUAUGUAAGAGCCCGGAUUAUGUUUAGCAUUACGUUGGUGGCAUGUGGCUUCUUGAUUGUUUUCAGGGUACGUUAGUUGAGUAAAGACCAUUGUACUUGGUAUCCAGUGACCACGUGUGUUCUCUGAGAUAUAUGGAUACAGUCGUCCUGGGACUGUAAGUUUUCUGGUUUCUAAAGUGGAAGUUAAACAUGUAAAGAAUAAUGAUUAAGAAAAAGGCACACAGCAAAAGUGAAAAUAAAGAGUGCAUUUUUAUUUUAUCAAUGUAAGCAGUGUUAUUAUGAGUUUAUGAAACAGUUCUAUAGGGUGAGGUUGUUUUCCUGUCUGGGUAAUAGAUUUUAUGUAGGUGUUAGAAAUAAUUCCCACAUUUGGAAUUGUAGCAUUUAUCUUUGGAUACUUAUUUCUCAUGGAUUUCUUUGAUCAAUCUUGGAUACCAUUACUCUUUAACUGUAGCAUCCCUGCAACUUUUAAUAACUCAGACUUCUCAGUGUGAAGGAAUAAUUUUAUAUACUUAUUUAUGCAUCUUCUUCCAUGUUUGAAUUGCAUGGGAACUCAGUUAUAAGAUUCAGUUAUAUGAUCUUGCACAAUAUCAUUAAACAGUGUCAUACCAGUUCACUGGCUCACUCUCCUGGCUUUGUUCUCUAGAAUUGAACUUCAAGAAAUUAAUUGACAAAACAGCUUGGGUGGGAACUUCCUUUGUAUUUAAAUUCAUUUCUUUUCCUAUAGUUAUAUGAGACUGUUCAUUUUUUUGUGAACAGCUAAAUUGUAAUUUUCUGUCAUUUCUUGACAUUGCCUUUUAUUAUCUCCUGUACACC